CCUUCACUAAGAAACUCUUUUUUCAAAAAGUGUACCUUACUGCUGACAAAUAUCUUUUAUUCAGCAGGAAGGUAAAAGUAAUAUCUCCUCAUUUUCUUGGGGUACCCUAUGAAGUUACACUUAUCGAACCUAGAUCCGAGCUUGUCAGUUUGUAAUCAUUUAACAUAAGCUGGACAACCCCAGACCUUAAAGUACGUGAGAUUUGGCCUAUGCCCUGACCAUAUCUCAUAUGGUGUUUUACUAACUGAUUUGUUCAAAAUAUUAUUAAGCACAAGAUAAGCUAUCUCGAGUGCAUAUCUCCAAAAGAAGAUCGAC
rnacentral:lncRNA from 1 species